UACGUAGGGUGCAAGCGUUAAUCGGAAUUACUGGGCGUAAAGCGUGCGCAGGCGGUUUUGUAAGUCUGUCGUGAAAGCCCCGGGCUCAACCUGGGAAUUGCGAUGGAGACUGCAAGGCUUGAAUCUGGCAGAGGGGGGGUAGAAUUCCACGUGUAGCAGUGAAAUGCGUAGAGAUGUGGAGGAACACCGAUGGCGAAGGCAGCCCCCCUGGGCUGAGAUUGACGCUCAGGCACGAAAGCGUGGGGAGCAAACAGG
rnacentral:rRNA from 1 species